AAAAAAGGUAAGCUACUAAGAGCGAAUGGUGGAUGCCUUGACUGGUAAAGGCGAUGAAGGACGUACUAGACUGCGAUAAGCUACGGGGAGCUGUCAAGAAGCUUUGAUCCGUAGAUUUCCGAAUGGGGCAACCCAAUGUAUAGAGAUAUACAUUACCUAUAUAGGAGCGAACGAGGGGAAUUGAAACAUCUUAGUACCCUCAGGAAAAGAAAUCAAUAGAGAUUGCGUCAGUAGCGGCGAGCGAAAGCGCAAGAGGGCAAACCCAGUGCUUGCACUGGGGGUUGUAGGACUGCAAUGUGCAAGAGGUAAGUUUAGCAGAACAUUCUGGAAAGUAUAACCAUAGAGGGUGAUAGUCCCGUAUGCGAAAAACAAACCUUAGCUAGCAGUAUCCUGAGUAGGGCGGGACACGAGGAAUCCUGUCUGAAUCCGGGUCGACCACGAUCCAACCCUAAAUACUAAUACCAGAUCGAUAGUGCACAAGUACCGUGAGGGAAAGGUGAAAAGAACUGAGGUGAUCAGAGUGAAAUAGAACCUGAAACCAUUUGCUUACAAUCAUUCAGAGCCCUAUGUAGCAAUACAGGGUGAUGGACUGCCUUUUGCAUAAUGAGCCUGCGAGUUGUGGUGUCUGGCAAGGUUAAGCAAACGCGAAGCCGUAGCGAAAGCGAGUCUGAAUAGGGCGCUUAGUCAGAUGCUGCAGACCCGAAACGAAGUGAUCUAUCCAUGAGCAAGUUGAAGCUAGUGUAAGAACUAGUGGAGGACUGAACCCAUAGGCGUUGAAAAGCCCCGGGAUGACUUGUGGAUAGGGGUGAAAGGCCAAUCAAACUUCGUGAUAGCUGGUUCUCUCCGAAAUAUAUUUAGGUAUAGCGUUGUGUCGUAAUAUAAGGGGGUAGAGCACUGAAUGGGCUAGGGCAUACACCAAUGUACCAAACCCUAUCAAACUCCGAAUACCUUAUAUGUAAUCACAGCAGUCAGGCGGCGAGUGAUAAAAUCCGUCGUCAAGAGGGAAACAACCCAGACUACCAGCUAAGGUCCCUAAAUCUUACUUAAGUGGAAAACGAUGUGAAGUUACUUAAACAACCAGGAGGUUGGCUUAGAAGCAGCCAUCCUUUAAAGAAAGCGUAAUAGCUCACUGGUCUAGUGAUUUUGCGCGGAAAAUAUAACGGGGCUAAAGUAAGUACCGAAGCUGUAGACUUGCGCACAACUUAGAUUAUUUAAGUUUAGAAUAUGAGAAACUAAGUUAUAUGUUUAGUUAUAUUUUUACUGAUUUUUAUAGAGUAAAGAUAGAAAUAAAACUUAGUAAAAUCAGUAAAAAUAUUCUUAGACUAAAGUUAAGUAGUUUAAGUUGUGUGCAAGUGGUAGGAGAGCGUUCUAUUUGCGUCGAAGGUAUACCGGUAAGGAGUGCUGGAGCGAAUAGAAGUGAGCAUGCAGGCAUGAGUAGCGAUAAUUAAUGUGAGAAUCAUUAACGCCGUAAACCCAAGGUUUCCUACGCGAUGCUCGUCAUCGUAGGGUUAGUCGGGUCCUAAGUCGAGUCCGAAAGGGGUAGACGAUGGCAAAUUGGUUAAUAUUCCAAUACCAACAUUAGUGUGCGAUGGAAGGACGCUUAGGGCUAAGGGGGCUAGCGGAUGGAAGUGCU
rnacentral:rRNA from 1 species